GUCUGGGGUGAAUAUGGCUACCCUACAAAGAAGGGUGAGGGUUGGAUAGGAGAUCCAAGAACUUGGCAUCUUGAUGUUGGGAGAUUAUCUCAGAACCUUUAUUUUUAUCAGGAUCCCGGCACCAAGCCUGCUACUAGGCAUUGGCCAUCAAUUGACUUAGGAACUGAAAUAUAUAUUAGCGAAGAUGAAGUGGCAGAGUGGAGCGUUAGC
rnacentral:misc_RNA from 1 species